rnacentral:miRNA from 1 species
AAAUUGCGUUACGGUUCUGCAUC